ACGUAUGCAACAUGCACAUGUUUCUGAAUUUAACUUAAUAUGCAAAAUUAGGAAAUUCAGUUGUGUAUGGAAAUUAGCAAUGUGAAUAAAUGUUACUUAACAUAAGUAGCUCUGCAGCACUUUCAUUGGGUUAAAGUAGCUCACAAAAGAUAAAAGGUUGGAGACCCCUGCUCUAAACACUUGAGCAGAUAUG